rnacentral:rRNA from 1 species
ACUCCGGGAAACCGGGGCUAAUGCCGGAUAACAUAUAGAACCGCAUGGUUCUAUAGUGAAAGAUGGUUUUGCUAUCACUUAUAGAUGGACCCGCGCCGUAUUAGCUAGUUGGUAAGGUAACGGCUUACCAAGGCGACGAUACGUAGCCGACCUGAGAGGGUGAUCGGCCACACUGGAACUGAGACACGGUCCAGACUCCUACGGGAGGCAGCAGUAGGGAAUCUUCCGCAAUGGGCGAAAG